CUUGAAUUUUAUAAGAGGUCCAGCCUGCCCAGUGACUCUGUUCAACGGCCGCGGUAUCCUAACCGUGCGAAGGUAGCGUAAUCACUUGUUCUUUAAAUGUGGACUAGUAUGAAUGGCACUACGAGGGUUAUACUGUCUCCUUUUUCUAAUCAGUGAAACUAAUUUUCCCGUGAAGAAGCGGGAAUAUAACUAUAAGACGAGAAGACCCUAUGGAGCUUUAAACAACCCAGCAAUUACUUCUAAAAUCAUAAAUUUCAGAAUAUUCAUUUUCUAAGUAACAUGUCUGCAAGUUUUUGGUUGGGGUGACCAUGGAGAAUAACAUAACCUCCAUAUUGAAUGAAUUCCCUUCUAAGCUAAAAAUUACCUAUUGAAGCAUCAAUACACUGACAUUUAUUGACCCA
rnacentral:rRNA from 1 species